rnacentral:rRNA from 1 species
AUUGAACGCUGGCGGCAUGCCUUACACAUGCAAGUCGAACGGUAACAGGUCUUCGGCUGCUGAUGAGUGGCGAACGGGUGAGUAAUACAUCGGAACGUGCCCGAUCGUGGGGGAUAACGAAGCGAAAGCUUUGCUAAUACCGCAUACGAUCUACGGAUGAAAGCAGGGGACCGCAAGGCCUUGCGCGAACGGAGCGGCCGAUGGCAGAUUAGGUAGUUGGUGGGAUAAAAGCUUACCAAGCCGACGAUCUGUAGCUGGUCUGAGAGGACGACCAGCCACACUGGGACUGAGACACGGCCCAGACUCCUACGGGAGGCAGCAGUGGGGAAUUUUGGACAAUGGGCGAAAGCCUGAUCCAGCCAUGCCGCGUGCAGGAUGAAGGCCUUCGGGUUGUAAACUGCUUUUGUACGGAACGAAAAGACUCUGGUUAAUACCUGGGGUCCAUGACGGUACCGUAAGAAUAAGCACCGGCUAACUACGUG